CUCCCCUGAAGCCAUCUAAGGCCAAGGCCAUGGGGAAGCAGUUUCGUAACAUACUACUCUCCAGGUCCCUCCAUGCCAUCUCAAAGGGCACGUGAUAAGAUUAUACUUCCGGGCACCCUCAUGGCUGGCUGGAGCCAAAGUGACCAUUU